GUAUGGUUAAGUGACUAAGCGUACACGGUGGAUGCCUUGGCAAUCAGAGGCGAAGAAGGACGUGCUAAUCUGCGAAAAGCUUGGGAGAGUUGAUAAGAAACGCUAUCAUCCCAAGAUAUCCGAAUGGGGAAACCCAAUAGGUGAAGAACCUAUUAUCAAAUGGUGAAUACAUAGCCAUUUGAAGCGAACCGGGAGAACUGAAACAUCUAAGUACCCCGAGGAAAAGAAAUCAACCGAGAUUCUGUGAGUAGCGGCGAGCGAAAGUGGAAGAGCCAGUUAGUUUUAGCAGUAGUAUUAAGAGAAUGAGUUGGGAAACUCAAUCAUAGAGGGUGAUAAUCCCGUAUCUGAAAAUGCAAUUGUGGAACUAAGCUAACGAUAAGUAGGGCGGGACACGUGAUAUCCUGUUUGAAGAUGGGGGGACCAUCCUCCAAGGCUAAAUACUCCUGAUUGACCGAUAGUGAACGAGUACUGUGAAGGAAAGGUAAAAAGAACCCCUGCGAGGGGAGUGAAAUAGAACCUGAAACCGUGUACGUACAAGCAGUAGGAGCCCCAUCACUCAAACAUAUUGAGUGGUGAGGAUGAAUAAACAGUGUGAUUGAGUGAUGGGGUGACUGCGUACCUUUUGUAUAAUGGGUCAGCGACUUAUAUUUUGUAGCAAGGUUAACCGAAUAGGGGAGCCGUAGGGAAACCGAGUCUUAACUG
rnacentral:rRNA from 1 species